rnacentral:rRNA from 1 species
GAUGAACGCUGGCGGCGUGCCUAAUACAUGCAAGUCGAGCGAACGGACGAGAAGCUUGCUUCUCUGAUGUUAGCGGCGGACGGGUGAGUAACACGUGGAUAACCUACCUAUAAGACUGGGAUAACUUCGGGAAACCGGAGCUAAUACCGGAUAAUAUUUUGAACCGCAUGGUUCAAAAGUGAAAGACGGUCUUGCUGUCACUUAUAGAUGGAUCCGCGCUGCAUUAGCUAGUUGGUAAGGUAACGGCUUACCAAGGCAACGAUGCAUAGCCGACCUGAGAGGGGGAUAGGCCACACGGGAGCUGAGACACGGUCCAGACUCCUACGGGAGGCAGCAGUAGGGAAUCUUCCGCAAUGGGCGAAAGCCUGACGGAGCAACGCCGCGUGAGUGAUGAAGGUCUUCGGAUCGUAAAACUCUGUUAUUAGGGAAGAACAUAUGUGUAAGUAACUGUGCACAUCUUGACGGUACCUAAUCAGAAAGCCACGGCUAACUACGUG